rnacentral:tRNA from 1 species
UUUAAAGUAAGCUAAAAAAGCUAAUGGACUCAUAAUCCAUAAAUGACUACCGUCCUUUAA